GCGUCAAAUGAAGCUGAGAGGGAGGAGCAGCAGGAGCAGGAAGAAAAAGGGAGCUUUGAAAGCUUAUAGAGCUGGCCGGAAGGACCUGGCAGAAGUGGGGGGCCUGAUGUCCCUUUUGCAAAGCUCCCCGGGGAGGCUGUCUUGUAAGGGAUGCUUCCAUCUCUUGUCAUCUCAAGAUUCCCCUGGGGAGGCAUGCAAGACAGCAUCUGCUAGAGUUCACCAGCCAUGCGGGAAGACUGUGGAAGGUGCUCCUCUCACCAUGAAUCCAGCACUUUCCCUGGCUCUUCUGACCAGCCCACUCUACCUUUGGCCUCCACUCUGCCAGCAGAACCUGCAUCUGCCUUGACCAGAACUCCACUAGGCCCUUUUUCCACGAGCUCAGCUCUAGCUCACUCCUGUUUCCCAUCUACCAACUCAGGCCACAGCCCCACGAGCUGUCGCAUUGCGUUCCUCAGCAAAUCUAUGAAUUAUCCUUUUGUUGGUUUGAGUCAAGGGUGGAGGAAAUGCCCUGUAGAAAGUUCCAACCAUGCCAGGUCUUCGUUUUCUUACUGGACAUGGGCUAGUUUAGGAGCAUCAUGUGAUGGAGCAUAAAGGGUGGACUUUGAGGACAACCGGGUCUGGGGUUGAACGAAAGCUUAGCCAUUCGUGAACUGCCUGAUCUAAGACAUGUUCUUAACCAUUCUGAAUUUCAGUUUCUCAAUCCGGGUAAAGAGAAUAAUAAGAUUUACCAGUAGGAGUUAUAGGACUUAGUUUCUUUUCUGGUUCUCUGAUCUACUCUCUAAUUUUUGCAAGUCAUGUGACCUCUUCAGACCUACCUAUCUUUGAGCGAAAAUGAAGGUCUUAUUGGUUCUCCAAAGGAAUAUGAUUUUGUCCCACCCGGGGGCAUCUGAAAGUGUGUGUGGUGUUUUUUGAUUGUCAUGAAACUAAGGGAAUCAAGAACGUAAAGUGCUCUGUAAGGGGGAGGACAGUCCCAUACAACAGAGAAUUGUUCCAUCAGAAAAUCAACGUAGCCCUGUUGUGAAACCCAAUUAGAACAUCUCUGAAGUCUUUGUCACCUUAACAUUUCAUCAUUUUACUCUAUGUCAUUGUUUCCUUACAAUUAUGAUGGAUGAACUAGAUAACUAAAUGCUAUGAGCCACCCUGCCACACAUGAGCAUGUUUAUCAAAAUGAAGGAUGGUGGAAUAAAGAACUGGCUUUUUUUGGGUUGGAGUAAAGGGCUCAAGGCAAGUCUCAGAGCGUGUGAGACAGAAGCUUCCCUGGAAAUAUUUCCUAAAGUGCUCACUAUGGAAAGUAAAGGAAACCUAUAUUUCAUGAGCAGAGUUGCAGGAGUAUGAAAUGAACAAUGCCAAAGGUGGAUGAAGACCCACCUUGUGGAUAAUCACAAAGUGGAGGUACAGCACUCUUUAUGGAUCCUGAGAACAAAGCUGGCUGACAUGAAGCCUGACCUGAAGAAGACUGCCGUCAGAGCUGAAGCCCUUGGCACCUCAAGGCCUCUCUGGCUUAGCACUAUUUGGGAUUUGUCAACCCAUUCCUGCAAGAAGUCAAUGAUGACCUUUAGAAUUUCGUUCCACAGAACACACUUUAGAGUGAUGACAUAGACAUGAGAAAACUGAAGAAUCUGCUGAGUAACAAGUUGGAUCAAGAUCUAUUUGAAUCUAAAACGAACAGGGGUUAAGUUCUUCAAGGGAAUGCUCAAAGAAUCCUGUACACUGAGAGUCAGGAGCUGAAUGUGGAAUUGGCAUCAUCUCUCAUAUCUCACACGGGGGACGUGCUCUGAAGAGCGACGGCAGAAGGCUGAGAAUUACAG
rnacentral:lncRNA from 1 species